CCCAGAUAGUCUGCUAGAGGGUGAAAGACACAUGGAACGGAGCUGAGUCACCACCGUUGUUCCAGCUGACAGUUAGUCAACGUCCAGAUAUGUGAGUGAACCCAGUCAAGAUCAGCAAAGCUGCCUAGCUGACGACCAACAGACCAAAGUGUCCCAGUUUGGAUAAUAAAUUACAAGAUCACACACUUAAAAUACACUGGAGAAAGUCAGUUUGUUGGGGGUACAGGGAGGAUUCGAGGAAAAGACAAGAUGCUCAGAAUAGCCAAUACGAUAUUGAAAGAGAAGAACAAAGUUGGAGGACUGACACUACUUGAUCUCAAGACAUUUUAUAAAGCUACAGUAAUCAAGAAAAUGUGAUUAGUGAAAGAAUAGACAAAGAGGUCAGUGGAACAGAAUAGAGAGCUCUGAAAUAGACCCAUAUAAACAUAAUCAACUUAUCUUUGACAAAGGAGCAAAGGUGGUAUAAUGGAACAAAGACAGUCUUUUCAACAAAUGAUGCUGGAACAAAUGGACAUCCACAUGCAAAAAAAAAGUGAAUCUAGACAUGGACAUGAUAUGCUUUACAAAAAUUAAUUCAAAAUGGAUCACAGACCUAAAUCUAAAAUGCAAAACAAUAAAACUCCCAGCAAAUAACAUAGGAGAAAAUUUAGAUGAUCUUUAGUAUGGCGAUGACUUUUUAGAUACAGCACCAAAAGCACAAUCCAUGAAAGAAAUAAUUGAUAAGCUGGACUUAAUUAAAAUUUAAAAACUUCUGCUCUGUAAAAGACAACAUCAAGAGAAUGAGAAGACUAGCCACAGACUGGGAGAAAAUAUUUUCGAAAGACAUAUAAAGAACUGGUAUCCAAAAUACACAAAAAAUCUCUUAAAACUGUAAAAUAAGAAAAUGAGCAACCUGAUUAACAACUUGGUCAAAGACCUUAACUGACACCUCACUAAAGAAGAUAUACGCAUGGCAAAUAAGUAUAUGAGGUAUUCUCCACAUCAUAUGUCCCCAGGAAAAUGCAAAUGUAAACAGUGAGAUACCACUACAUACCUAUUAGAAUGGCCAAAACCCAAAACACUGACAAUACCAAAGGCUGGCAAGGAUGUGGGGCAAUAGGAACUCAUUCAUUGUUGAGGGAAUACAAAAUGGUACAACCACCU